GACGAACGCUGGCGGCGUGCUUAACACAUGCAAGUCGAACGGUGAAGGGACUGGUUUUGCUGGUCCUGGAUGAGUGGCGAACGGGUGAGUAACACGUGAGUAACCUGCCCCCUUCUUCUGGAUAACCGCAUGAAAGUGUGGCUAAUACGGGAUAUUCUGGGUCUGUCGCAUGGUGGGCCUGGGAAAGAUUGCGCCUUUUUUGGUGUUUUUGGUGGGGGAUGGGCUCGCGGCCUAUCAGCUUGUUGGUGGGGUGAUGGCCUACCAAGGCGGUGACGGGUAGCCGGCCUGAGAGGGUGGACGGUCACACUGGGACUGAGACACGGCCCAGACUCCUACGGGAGGCAGCAGUGGGGAAUAUUGCACAAUGGGCGCAAGCCUGAUGCAGCGACGCCGCGUGAGGAAUGGAGGCCUUCGGGUUGUGAACCUCUUUCGCCAGUGAAGCAGGCCUGCCUCUUUUUGUGGGUGGGUUGACGGUAGCUGGAUAAGAAGCGCCGGCUAACUACGU
rnacentral:rRNA from 1 species